GACGAACGCUGGCGGCGUGCCUAAUACAUGCAAGUCGAGCGAAGCGGCGGAUGGGUGCGUAUCGCGUGGGUAACCUGCCCUUAAGUCUGGGAUACCAUUUGGAAACAGAUGCUAAUACCGGAUACUAAAGGAUUGACCUGCGGUGCAUUAGCGAGUUGGUAAGGUAACGGCUUACCAAGGCGAUGAUGCAUAGCCGAGUUGAGAGACUGAUCGGCCACAUUGGAACUGAGACACGGCCCAAACUCCUACGGGAGGCAGCAGUAGGGAAUCUUACACAAUGGACGAAAGUCUGAUGGAGCAACGCCGCGUGAGUGAAGAAGGUUUUCGGAUCGUAAAGCUCUGUUGUUGGGGAAGCGGUAAUCAACCAGAAAGUCACGGCUAACUACGUGCAAGCAGCCGCGGUAAUAC
rnacentral:rRNA from 1 species